ensembl:lncRNA
GUUUUUCACAGGAACCGAAUAUUACACAACACCGGUUCCCUCGAAGCUGCUGCAUGCUACUCCUCCGCACGGACAGAUCAUCACUCACAGAAGUGCAGAGCCUCAGAAGUCGGUCAUUCACUGCACUGGACACCUGGGGGUCUUGGAAAGAAAAAGGAGAACCCGUUCCUCAGAAAGAGCGUGUGCAGACUGCUGGAGCCAGUGGUGUAGAAGUCUGGUUCUCCAGAUUCCUGGCGUCAGAAAGGUGAAGGCCAUGCAGCUCCUCCAGCGAUUCCCCAGCAUCCAUCAGCUCUGUGGAGCUUCAGUGCAUGAGCUUGAGCCCAUCGUGGGACAGGCCACAACCCAACAUAUCACAGCAUUCUUCCACAACCAGUUCACAUAGGAACGCAUGUUACGGACAACAGAAGGACUUUCAACAAAAAAAACAACAACAAGUGGCACUGAAGACUCAGUUGCAUGUAGUGUUUGUUCCUUACCCAAGUCCCAUUUCAAAGUGGGAGUUGUUGUUAUGUUCCUGUUCAUGCAUUUAUUUACUUUAUCUUUUUUGAGUUGCAUGAAAACAUACUAUGGGUUGAUAUUAAUGGAAUGAUAUUAAUGUGUUUGUUGUACAGUUGGGCCUGAAACCACAUUGAUCGUUUGAGAUUUUCAUUGAAACUUUGUAGGGAAGUAAUGAGGUUUUUGGAUUUAAGAAUAAAAUGUAUACAAAAAUACAAAAUGAUGAUAAUCCUGCCCUGUGUUAUGUCACAAAUCAAAUUACCAAAUCAGUGGCAUUGACCAUGUGACCUAAUUUGCAGUAAAGUUUGGAUUUCCUUUCUGCCAAGAUGUCAAAAAUAUAAAAUUUAAUAUAAAAUUAGAAUGUGUUAAACAACAUUUUCACUUGUGAUCUCAGACUUUUAAACUGGGC